GGGGCCGAUUAGGAUUCGACGCCGGUAGCGAAGCUCGAGGUGCAUGCCGACUUGGUAACAGAAGUCGUAAAUCAACUGUUGCAACUUUCUAUAGUUGCCAAUGACGAAAACUACGAGGGCUACGCUCUCGCUGCGUAAGCGGCGCGACUAGUCCUUCUGGUAGCUUCGGCUCCAGCGAUCACUAGGGGAUGCCUGUAAACCUGAAGUGAUUGUCAUGCAGAACAGGAUCGCCGCGUAGUACGUUGUGGACGAAGUGGCUAAAACUUACACAACUCGCCCAAUGCACCCUGCCCGUCGGGCGGCUGAGGG
rnacentral:tmRNA from 1 species